GCUGGACUAAUGAGAGCUAGAUUGAUGAGGGAGGGACAAUGAACUGAUUAAGAAAUUAGAUCUAAUUUCAUUCAACUAGAAGCUGAAUUCAUUCUUCAAAGAGUGAAGCAGUCCAAUUGGAGAGGAAAAAUAAUAAUUCAUUUUGUUUGCUUUUUGGGAGUAUUCUUGUUGGAUGUGUUGACAUAUGUGGUGAUUUGGCUAGGUGUAUGCAUUGUGAAAAUUGGAAAAUAAAUUGUGGGCCAAAAUUACAAAUUCAGCAAAUUAUAGGAACUGAAAUUAUAUAAGAAAAUAAUCAUACGUUUUGAAACACUAAUUUCUAC
rnacentral:lncRNA from 1 species